GGGACGCAACUACCGGCUCCCCAGGGGCCGGGAGAGGCAGGCAGCUGGUGUGCAAUUCGGGGGCUCUCCGGCUGUCUAGGCCGUGGCAGCACGGAGGAGCCAGCUCGGAGCAUCUCCGGGGCAGGAAGAUUCCCAAGGCCCAAGCUGCAGGGACCAGUUUGGGGUGCCUGGAGAGAAUGGCUCUGUGCCACAGCCAGGACCGUCUCUGUGUGAGCUCUGGUGGAUGGGGAACUGCAGGAUUAAUGGAGAUGUGCGGAAAGGUGCCAGCCCUGCUUCUAUGUGUGCACAUGUGUGCGGGAGCUAGAUCCGAGUAUCUGUGCAGACGGCGUGGCCAUGGGGGUAUUGAUCGUGGUGUUCCCAGGUGCCUGUGUCGCUGGCAGGGUGGGCGAGGGGGUUUCUUCUCUCCGUUGCAUUUCCCUGCGUGUGAUGCUUUUCUCUCCUUGUGUUUUGCAGUGCAACCACCCCCUGGCAGGCACGGCACACGCUUGCCCUCGCCCCUGACGGUGCAUGAUGGAAGUGGCCAGUCUCAAAGACUUCCAGUGAAAAUCCCUGGCACCGCUCCCCAACAGCAGGGUCUACUGCUCCUUGGUGGAAGUGGGAGGGCAGGUCUUUGCCAUCGGGGGCUGAGAUGACAACAGCAUCCCCAUGCACUGCUUUGAGGUGUACUCCCCAAAGCCGACCAGUGGGACUCCCUCCUUCCCAUGCCCGCGGCCCAGGCCACCCUGGGCAAGCGGAUCAUGGUGAUCGGAGGGGUUGGAGUGAAUCUGAUGCCCCUGAAGAGCGUAGAGAUGUACAACAUCCAUGAGGGCAAGUGGCAGAAGAGGAACUCCCCGAGAGAAGCAGCGAUCGGCAUCUCGGUGACUGCGAAAGGCGAGGAGAAUUUGUUUGCUACGGCAGGCCUGUGGCUGGCAGGGAGGCCCCCCCGGUGCGGGGAGCACGGCAGGGAGAAGAGGGCUGCGCAGGGCUCCAGGGGCAAGGGGGGACUUUGAGCUGGGAUGGGAGAAGGAUCCCCUUUCCCUGGGAACUUGAACUGGGCCUUGUCUGAGGCUGGAGGAGUUGAUCAGUGGGUUGCCUUCCCUUCUGCAACAUCCCUUGUGCAGGGAAGAGGGACCAUUACUCUCACAGCCCUGACCCUGAAGGAGAUCCCGGACUGAAGCCAUUGGGCACAGCUAAAUCCUGCGGCUCUCCCACUCUCCAGCUGUCUUGGCGGACAGCGACCUCUGUUUCCCCCAGGAUUAUUUUUUAUUUUGCCAGGCUCAAGCUUCACACAGGAGUCCAGACUUCCCCAAGGUUUGGGGUCAGGCCCAUUUCUCCUUCCAGCUUCCUGUAACUCAGGGAAGGAAGCUAAGAGGGGUUCAGGGGCCAGUUCUGCUUUUGAGUACAACAGGGUCAAUCUGGAGCGACUUCACUUGGUUUGCCCAGGGCAGGAUUGGCUCCCUGUGUUGGUUCUGGUCACAUUUAUUUCCAAGGCCCACUCACCGGGUUUGCAGAGGCACUGACUGCUCAAGACUCCAUGGAUAUCUGUGGGAGCGAGGAGCUCCUAGUGCCUCUGCAAAUCAGGCUGUCAAGAUCCCUGCACUGGUUUAACCUUCCUGGUGGUGUGAGGCCUGGGCUGCAGCUGUUGGAACAUCCCUGGGGUGGGCACGGGGCAGGCACCCCCAAGCCUGUGGCACCCCUGGGGCUGCUGCACCACCCAGGCAAGGGGCGAGGGCACGGGGCCCAGAGCUGAGCCCAGGCUGCACCUGCACUGGUCCAGGCUGGCUCUGCACCCCAUGCUGGCCUUGGGGGCAUGUGCCCGGGCAGCCGGCAGGGGUGUGGGGAUUGGGGCCUGGUGUGCUCCCGGGGCAGGCGGGCACUGCCUGCUGCUGCAUGGGGCUGAGCCUCUGCUUUCCAGCGCCCUGCACCGGGCCGGCCCUGCAGCAGCACCACGGCCUCCAGCAGGGCCUCAGUGCAGCCCGGAGGCCCAAGUGCUUGGGGCUUGCCCUGCCCCUGCCCCUGCCCCGCUCUGUCAGCGCUUCGUGCUGCGCUGGGACAGGGAGCCAAGGCCGGGCCAGUGUAACAUACGCACUGUGCAAUGUGAUGCAUUGUGUGCAUUAAGAUGUGACAUGAGUGUGUGCCAGAAGGACAGCAAUUUGCAGAGGGCUGCUGACUGCCCUUGCACCACACAUCGCAGAGGCACCUGGAAGUGGGAAGAGGAAGUGAUGAGGACCCUGCAGAGUCCUGCUGCUGGACUGCAAAUCCCCCAAACCCAGCGGGACAGGAGGAGGAGGUGGUGACCUGGGAUCCCUGGCUGGCGACAUGCCAGCAAAGCUGCCAGCCGUGGUGCCCGCUGGAGAGGGCCUGAAGCAGAGAAGACGCUGCAUGGCACAGGGCUCUGGAGGAAAGGCUGGUUCUUGGGGACAUCCCUCCGCACAGGAGGGCAGGGGACCGACCGUAUGUGCUGAUGUGUGACCCAGCGGGACUGACCACUACCUGUCCCCUGCCCUCGAAGUGCACGUGCUUAUACUUGGGCUGCCUGUGUCCUGGGUGUCUGUCCCUUCCCUUGGCCUGUGCCCCCAGCGCCCAAGACACUGCCUAGAAAGGCCAUCCCUCCUGGGCUGCAGUGCCUGUGCCUGGCCCCGCCGGGCUCUCUUCCACCAGGCUCACACC